rnacentral:rRNA from 1 species
GCAUAUCAAUAAGCGGAGGAAAAGAAACCAACCGGGAUUGCCUUAGUAACGGCGAGUGAAGCGGCAAAAGCUCAAAUUUGAAAUCUGGCGUCUUCGACGUCCGAGUUGUAAUUUGGAGAGGGCAACUUUGGGGCCGUUCCUUGUCUAUGUUCCUUGGAACAGGACGUCAUAGAGGGUGAGAAUCCCGUGUAGCGAGGAGUGCGGUUCUUUGUAAAGUGCCUUCGAAGAGUCGAGUUGUUUGGGAAUGCAGCUCUAAGUGGGUGGUAAAUUCCAUCUAAAGCUAAAUAUUGGCGAGAGACCGAUAGCGAACAAGUACAGUGAUGGAAAGAUGAAAAGAACUUUGAAAAGAGAGUGAAAAAGUACGUGAAAUUGUUGAAAGGGAAGGGCAUUUGAUCAGACAUGGUGUUUUGUGCCCUCUGCUCCUUGUGGGUAGGGGAAUCUCGCAUUUCACUGGGCCAGCAUCAGUUUUGGUGGCAGGAUAAAUCCAUAGGAAUGUAGCUUGCCUCGGUAAGUAUUAUAGCCUGUGGGAAUACUGCCAGCUGGGACUGAGGACUGCGACGUAAGUCAAGGAUGCUGGCAUAAUGGUUAUAUGCCGCCCGUCUUGAAACACGGACC